rnacentral:rRNA from 1 species
CCUACGGGGGGCAGCAGUGGGGAAUAUUGGGCAAUGGGCGCAAGCCUGACCCAGCAACGCCGCGUGAAGGAAGAAGGCUUUCGGGUUGUAAACUUCUUUUCUCAGGGACGAAGCAAGUGACGGUACCUGAGGAAUAAGCCACGGCUAACUACGUGCCAGCAGCCGCGGUAAUACGUAGGUGGCAAGCGUUAUCCGGAUUUACUGGGUGUAAAGGGCGUGUAGGCGGGAAAGCAAGUCAGAUGUGAAAACCAUGGGCUCAACCUGUGGCCUGCAUUUGAAACUGUUUUUCUUGAGUACUGGGGAGGCAGACGGAAUUCCUAGUGUAGCGGUGAAAUGCGUAGAUAUUAGGAGGAACACCAGUGGCGAAGGCGGUCUGCUGGACAGCAACUGACGCUGAGGCGCGAAAGCGUGGGGAGCAAACAGGAUUAGAUACCCGUGUAGUC